GACGAACGCUGGCGGCGUGCCUAAUACAUGCAAGUUGAGCGCUGAAGGUUGGUACUUGUACCAACUGGAUGAGCAGCGAACGGGUGAGUAACGCGUGGGGAAUCUGCCUUUGAGCGGGGGACAACAUUGGGAAACGAAUGCUAAUACCGCAUAAAAACUUUAAACACAAGUUUUAAGUUUGAAAGAUGCAAUUGCAUCACUCAAAGAUGAUCCCGCGUUGUAUUAGCUAGUUGGUGAGGUAAAGGCUCACCAAGGCGAUGAUACAUAGCCGACCUGAGAGGGUGAUCGGCCCCCUUGGGACUGAGACACGGCCCAAACCCCUACGGGAGGCAGCAGUAGGGAAUCUUCGGCAAUGGACGAAAGUCUGACCGAGCAACGCCGCGUGAGUGAAGAAGGUUUUCGGAUCGUAAGACUCUGUUGGUAGAGAAGAACGUUGGUGAGAGUGGAAAGCUCAUCAAGUGACGGUAACUACCCAGAAAGGGACGGCUAACUACGUG
rnacentral:rRNA from 1 species